rnacentral:rRNA from 1 species
AACGAACGCUGGCGGCAGGCCUAACACAUGCAAGUCGAACGCACCGCAAGGUGAGUGGCGCACGGGUGAGUAACACGUGGGAAUGUAUCCUUUGGUUCGGAAUAACGUCUGGAAACGGACGCUAAUACCGGAUGAGCCCUUCGGGAGAAAGAUUUAUCGCCGAAGGAGCAGCCCGCGUCUGAUUAGGUAGUUGGUGGGGUAAAGGCCUACCAAGCCGACGACCAGUAGCUGGUCUGAGAGGAUGAUCAGCCACACUGGGACUGAGACACGGCCCAGACUCCCACGGGAGGCAGCAGUGAGGAAUAUUGGAAAAGGGGCGCAAGCCUGAUCCAGCCAUGCCGCGUGAGUGAGGAAGGCCUUCGUGUUGUAAAGCUCUUUCGCACACGACGAUGAUGACGGUAGUGUGAGAAGAAGCCCCGGCUAACUUCGUGCCAGCCGCCGCCGUAAGAC